AUGCCUUAAACUGAUGAGUAAGGAAAAUAACGACGCGGGGUGACGCCCGUGUUCUCGCAGACUCUCGCGAGGAGAAUUUUUGUAAGGGCACAGGUCCGUCUGCGAGGUGACUCACCUACUUAGUGAGAUGCCGAGCAGAGCCAGGAUCUGCCCC
rnacentral:snRNA from 12 species